rnacentral:rRNA from 1 species
GCUAGGGGGGCAGCAGUGGGGAAUAUUGCACAAUGGGGGAAACCCUGAUGCAGCGAAGCCGCGUGAGUGAAGAAGUAUUUCGGUAUGUAAAGCUCUAUCAGCAGGGAAGAAACCCACCCUCCGGGGUGGCUGACGGUACCUGACUAAGAAGCCCCGGCUAACUACGUGCCAGCAGCCGCGGUAAUACGUAGGGGGCAAGCGUUAUCCGGAUUUACUGGGUGUAAAGGGAGGGUAGGUGGCAAGGCAAGUCAGAUGUGAAAACCCGGGGCCCAACCUCGGGAGUGCAUUUGAAACUGUCUGGCUAGAGUGCAGGAGAGGUAAGUGGAAUGCCGAGUGUAGCGGUGAAAUGCAUAGAGAGUAGGAGGAACACCAGUGGCGAAGGCGGCGUACUGGACUGUAACUGACACUGAGGCUCGAAAGCGUGGGGAGCAAACAGGAUUAGAUACCCCGGUAGUC